CAAAACAUGUCUUAUUGAAAAUAAUUUUAAGUCAAUCUGCCCAAUGAAAAAUUUUAAUGGCUGCAGUAUACCUGACUGUACAAAGGUAGCAUAAUCAAUUGGUUUUUAAAUGAAAUCUGGUAUGAAAGGAUUAAUGAAAUAUAUACUGUCUCAUAUUUAUUUAUUGAAUUUAAAAUUUUAAUAAAAAUGUUAAAAUUUAUUUAUGGGACGAUAAGACCCUAUAGAAUUUUAUAUUAAAUUAUAUUUAUUUAAGUAAAUUUUAAUUUAAUAUUUAGUUGGGAGAAUUAUUAAAUUUAAAAAAUUUUAAUUUAUAAAAACUUAAAUUAAAGAAAAAUUGUUGAUUUUAAAUUUUAAAUUAUUAGAAUAAAUUACCUUAGGGAUAACAGCGUAAUAUUUUUUUAUAGAUCAUAUAGAAAAAAAUGAUUGCGACCUCGAUGUUGAAUUAAGAUAAAUUUUAAAUGCAGAAGUUUAAUAAUUAAGUCUGUUCGACUUUUAAAAUCUUACAUGAUUUGAGUUCAAAUCGACGUAAGU
rnacentral:rRNA from 1 species